CGUAACAAGGUCUCCGUAGGUGAACCUGCGGNNNGAUCAUUACAAGAACGCCCGGGCUUCGGCCUGGUUAUUCAUAACCCUUUGUUGUCCGACUCUGUUGCCUCCGGGGCGACCCUGCCUUCGGGCGGGGGCUCCGGGUGGACACUUCAAACUCUUGCGUAACUUUGCAGUCUGAGUAAACUUAAUUAAUAAAUUAAAACUUUUAACAACGGAUCUCUUGGUUCUGGCAUCGAUGAAGAACGCAGCGAAAUGCGAUAAGUAAUGUGAAUUGCGGAAUUCAGUGAAUCAUCGAAUCUUUGAACGCACAUUGCGCCCCCUGGUAUUCCGGGGGGCAUGCCUGUUCGAGCGUCAUUUCACCACUCAAGCCUCGCUUGGUAUUGGGCAACGCGGUCCGCCGCGUGCCUCAAAUCGUCCGGCUGGGUCUUCUGUCCCCUAAGCGUUGUGGAAACUAUUCGCUAAAGGGUGUUCGGGAGGCUACGCCGUAAAACAACCCCAUUUCUAAGGUUGACCUCGGAUCAGGUAGGGAUACCCGCUGAACUUAAGCAUAUCA
rnacentral:rRNA from 1 species